AUUGAACGCUGGCGGCAGGCCUAACACAUGCAAGUCGAACGGUAACAGGAAGAAGCUUGCUUCUUUGCUGACGAGUGGCGGACGGGUGAGUAAUGUCUGGGAAACUGCCUGAUGGAGGGGGAUAACUACUGGAAACGGUAGCUAAUACCGCAUAACGUCGCAAGACCAAAGAGGGGGACCUUCGGGCCUCUUGUCAUCGGAUGUGCCCAGAUGGGAUUAGCUAGUAGGUGGGGUAACGGCUCACCUAGGCGACGAUCCCUAGCUGGUCUGAGAGGAUGACCAGCCACACUGGAACUGAGACACGGUCCAGACUCCUACGGGAGGCAGCAGUGGGGAAUAUUACACAAUGGGCGCAAGCCUGAUGCAGCCAUGCCGCGUGUAUGAAGAAGGCCUUCGGGUUGUAAAGUACUUUCAGCGGGGAGGAAGGGAGUAAAGUUAAUACCUUUGCUCAUUGACGUUACCCGCAGAAGAAGCACCGGCUAACUCCGUG
rnacentral:rRNA from 1 species